rnacentral:rRNA from 1 species
AACGAACGCUGGCGGCGUGCCUAAGACAUGCAAGUCGUGCGAGAAAAGGGCUUCGGCCCCUAGUAGAGCGGCGCACGGGUGAGUAACGCGUGGGUAAUCUGCCUCCGGGUCCGGGAUAACCUCGGGAAACUGGGGCUAAUACCGGAUGAGACCAAGAGGUCUUCGGACCUCGCGGGAAAAGGUGGCCUCUUCAUGAAAGCUUUUGCCCGGAGAUGAGCCCGCGUCCCAUUAGCUAGUUGGUGAGGAACGGCUCACCAAGGCUCCGAUGGGUAGCUGGUCUGAGAGGACGACCAGCCACACUGGAACUGAGACACGGUCCAGACUCCUACGGGAGGCAGCAGUCGGGAAUUUUGGGCAAUGGGGGAAACCCUGACCCAGCAACGCCGCGUGAGGGAUGAAGGCCU